GGUGUGGGGCGGCGACCCCGCCGGCAUCACGCGGGAGCUCGCGCUGGAGAUGACCGCGCGGCUACAAGCGGUCUUGGAGGACGCGCUAUUGAAGAAUAUCACGUUAAAGGAAAACAUUGACACCCUAGGAGCAGAGAUUUCGAGGCUAAAAGAAAAGAAUUCAAGCACUGAAUCUAAGUGAAGAAUACAAACCUGAUGUAUAGACAGCUUAUAAAAGAUAUAGGUACUUAUCUAAACAUCAACUUUGUGGACAGAUGUCUCAGCUAUGACAUUGUCAAGAGGGCGCUAACUAACUAUUUUGAAACGUUAAAUGGCAAAGAUCGCAAAUAGUAACCCGGCAUUGAUUUUUUUUUAUCCACAACGAGGAAGCUCUUGGCCUGUAUCUCACCUGAUGGUAAGUGAUGAUCAGGCCGAAGGUGGAAGCGAGCUUCACCCGGAAUCCUCAACCACGGAGGAACUGGCUAUCGUACCUCUUAACUGCCGGAACACAAUAAUGCUGUUAACAUUGUUGUUAUGGCGACAGACUUAGGUAAGAUAGUGGUAGCUAGCCAGGCGAACUUAGAACAAGCCUUACCACCAACCAAACCGAACAGAAAAAUCUGCCCCCAUUGGGAAUCUAACCCGGGACCUCUGCGUCUGAAGCAGGUGGUCUUAUCACUAGACCACAGAGGCGGUUGAUGGCAGCGCCCUCCUGCAAUUGACAUUUCAGUGUUUUCCAACGUGGCAAAAAUCGGAACCAGCGAGCGUAUUGACGGUGGCGCCCCCCUGUCAAUGUCACGGGUGGGACAGUUCAGUGUAGUUCAUCUAUACUGGACUGGAUUGAAGCCACGAUAGCCGAACGGUGAAGGGGUCGGACUGGCCGACUCGUGAUCCGAGGAACGCGGAUUCGAAUCCCGCCGCCGCUCGACUAUCGUGGUGAGCCCACUCGUUACACAAGCAUAUUCAGCUUACCACGAGGGGUUAACGGGAUUUGUAAAUAUAAAUUAGUAAUAUUAUUUAUUAUUUUAAAAUAGAACUAAAAACUCAAUAUUGAUAGUAGCGUCCUCCUGUAAAUGACAUUUCAGUGUUUUCCAACGUGGCAAAAAUCGGAACUAAUAACAGAGUAAAUACAAAUGAGUAGGUUAUCUUCAUAGAAACGCACCGAGCGCGGUUUGUAUGUGAGCGCGCCAAUACGUAUGCGGCGCGCACGCACACACUGACAAAAUUUAGCGUGGAUUAGCGGGGAGUUGCGCCGAUAAUAACCCAUUGAUAGUAGCGCCCUCCUGUCAAUGUAAUAGCUGGGACGGUUCAGUGUUGGACAACUAUACAUUUUGACACGUGCAUAUGUCAAGCAAGUGUUAUAGUUUUUAUGUUUGAAUCGCGGAAUCAAAAUAUUUUUCAAUUUCAAACAUUAGAUUUCGAACAAAAAAUCUUUUAAAGCUGACUAUACAAUAAAUUUAAUUCGAUAAAAAAUCAAAUAUCGAUCGAUCUGACUUGACAAUGGAGAUUAGGACGAAAUUGACAUUCCCAAAUUUAAAUUAUUAUAAAUAAAUGUUUAAAUUAUUAUAAGUAUUUGACUGUUGGUUAUUCAGAAAAAUAAGUAUACUAAAUAAAAUAUCACUUAAAAAUAAAUAAAAUCCAAUUAUAAUACAAAUAAAAGUUAAAUAAAUGUAGAUUAUAUGAAAUAAAUUACAAAUAUUUUCCUGUUCAACUAACGAAAAAUACGUAAAAUUAUGAAAUUCCAAAUGUAUAUAUUUUUUUAUUUAUAACAGCAUUUGAAGGUCACAUGUACUUGAUUAUAAUUAAUAUUAUUGUAAAUAGAUUUUCUUUUUUAUGUAAAGUGAAUGACGUAUUGUUUUUUUUUUGCCGCCUAUUUCUUUUUUUUUUGUGACAUUGCCUAAACGGCUGGACAAUCACCCCGGAAAAGGAUUGCGAGGCGAGGCGUUUACGUUACGGUGCGGAUAAGUGUUUUAAGUAUGCGUUGGAGUAUGGAGUUUCAUACAAAGAAUACUGACCGCCUCGAGUUGAUACGGUUACGAUCCGUUUCCGGGUUGAUCCUUAGAUUCUGAGGUGCCUAUGAACUGAAUAAAUAAACUAACCUAGAGUGCAAAUAUGUGUCAUAAACUAUUCAAGAUAUAAAGGUGAGUAUAGACUUCCUGUGUAAUGUAACGUUCUUGCGAAUGGAAUACAGGUAAAAUGUAGGUAAUUAGUAGAGAUGAAACGGAUAUCCGGUAACUAUCCGGUAGGCCGGAUAUCCGGCCUAAAUUUACUAUCCGGCCGGAUACCGGAUAGUAGCUCACUAUCCGGCCGGAUACCGGAUAUUAAAAAACUACGACAAUUUCCUAUUAAUAAAAUGAAAUAUACACUGGUCAUCACAAAAAUCGACCCUCCCGCGACAAGCACUUUCAAACGUAUGCAUUCCCACUUCCCACAAAUGUUGGCACCAUUUGAAAGCCUAGUCCUAAAGUUCAUUUCCUUAAAGGAAAGGUUUUUACCCCAAAAAUGUGUUUUUAGAAGGAUUAGAAGGAUCCAGAGUCACUUCUUCAAAAAAUAGGUAGUUACGCUUGAGCCAACUUUUAUGGUUUUAAUACUGUUAAGUUGGGAUUAAUCGCUAUCCAUCUGUUAAAGAGGACACGUGAGAUCAUUAUUUGGUUAUAUAACCAUAAAAAUUGGUCUAAUUGAUCCCAGAGGUGAGCCCAAAGUUAGGUCUUUUUUCAAGUCUCAUUUAUUGUAUAUGUUAAUCGUUUAUUAAGAAAUUAAAUGUGUUUUCUUUACGUUAUGUUAUGGAUAUUUAUUGGGCUUUCAAAUAACACCAAUAUUGUUAGGGCACCAUGAUUAUGUCAGUAGAAACGAGGUUUCCUGUAAAACGUAGGUGGGCCGAUUUUUGUGAUGACCAGUAUAUUAAUCUUUGAGGUAAACAUCAAUAAAAUGGCUUAUAAUAAUGACGGCUUUUAUUUGAAGUCCAAAAUGUUACAAAAAGCCAUAUUAAGGCCUUUAAAAAAACGAAUUUCUUUUUCUGAGCUAUUCACUCUAAUGACGAAUACAUAAAAAUGAUAAAUAGUAAAUAUCUGUUAUAAUAAAUAGUAAGUCGAAAUAUUGCCAAAUAAAAUAGGCGAUCUUUUGUUCGCUGAUGGUCUGAUAUCAUGAUGCAGUUCAGUCAGAUUACGCAGCAAGUAAACUAAUUUAAUUUUCGCUAUUCAAUCACACACUCACGAUGGCAACCGAAAUCGCCCGAAUUGAUCUGCCCCCUAGACAAGUGGUAAAAUCUGACAUUCUAUUCGGACUGAUUUGAUUUUCGAAAAGUGUGACUAGUCUAGUCUACUAAUAGACCCACUGAUCGCGUUCGAAGCACCUGUGCGGCGCUAAACUCGUCACACAACGUCACGACAUGCAACGAGACAAUGUGCCAACUAUCCGGCGGCCGGAUAUCCGGCUAUCCGGCCUAGCAGGUGGCCGGAUAUCCGGUAUCCGGCCAAACAACUAUCCGUUUCAUCUCUAGUAAUUAGUGACAAGAUGAUUAAAGCCUGGUCCGUGAGCACGUAGAAUCCCGUCCAAUGACCCCAAGCUACCCAUCCCUAUCGCUCGCGCGUAAUUAUGUUGCUGUCGCGACUGUGCGACGGGCGCCCGCAGUGAGUGUGCGAGCGCGACAGCAACAUAAUUACGCGCGAGCGAUAGGGAUGGGUAGCUUGGGGUCAUUGGACGGGAUUCUACGUGCUCACGGAUCAGGCUUUAGACAUUUUAUAGAGCAGCUCGUUGUUAUGUUACAAAUAAAUGCUCCAAUCUAUACUCACCUUAAGAAAUCCACACUAUUAAAAUGAUAAUGUUGGUGCUGCAGAUUAUGUUCUCAAGUUAUUUUCCUAAAGAAUGAUGAUGAUGAUGAAGUCAGUAUUUUUUAUGUGUUUUCGGUGUUAUUUCCUUUGCUAUGUAUCCUUUCCUAAUGUAUGACGUUAUAAAAAUGGAAGAACUGAACACGCUAUAGAUCUAGCGCCUAAGGCUAAGAACUCACGGCGCGAUUUUCACCCGCGCCCGCGGCGGUUGUGGAAUUGCAUUUUUAUUUCAAAACUCAUGGGAGCGGUUAUUUGCGCGGUUAGGCUAAGAACUCACGGCGCGGGUAAAAAUCGUGCGAAUCAAGACACUGGUACAAAAUGGUCGCCCGCCAAUCGAUCGCAGAGCGCGCGGGCGAAAACCGCCGAGGCUGCGGUUACCGCGGGCCCGCGAGAUUCUACUAGUUGCCCGACGCGGCGGUGCCGCGGGACCCGCAUACAACCGCGCCCGCUGCGGGCGCAAACCGCGUCGUGAGUUGUGCAUUAGUCUAGUCAUUACAUAAGUAUCUGCAUUCUACAGAAGCUGCGGGCCCGCAACCGCCACGGGCGCUGGUGAAAAUUGCUCCGUGAGUUCUUAGCCUGAGUCAGUGUCUGCGGUAUAGGAGCAGCGUGGGAAAGUGUUUUUGAGACGUCGAACAUCAUCGAGACUUCCAAUGUGCUUCAGAGGUGGAAUUGUGUAAAGCAAUCGUUAUAAUUUGACAGUUCAUAACGUACGAUUAUUCUGUCAAACGCUUUGUAUAACUGACUUUAUCGUACGUUAUGAACUGUCAAAUGAUUACGAUUGCUUUACACAAUUCCACCUCUGAUUUGUAUGCUCUAUCACGUCAUAAUAUUAUAUCAAUAUCACCCCUCCCAUACCUCAGGCAUUGACUCAGAUAAGCGCCAGACCUAAAAAUGCAUUUUUCAUGCGAAAUUCAAUCCUGUGUAUAUUGUUUUACAGUAGAUUUCGUGGCAGAGUCUAUGUGUAUUGAGUAUUAUUUUCGUCCAGUACGUAUUUGUUCGUCCCUACAAUAUGAUAUCUACUUCGAUCAAAAUCAUGUAUUUAUCCUUAUUUCUUAGUAUUAAUAUUAACCGUGUGCACGCAUUUACAUACAUUACAAGUAAUUUUAAUUUUAUGACAUUCAAAAGUGGCGAAAUAUUAUUAAAAUAUGAACAUUUGUCUUCCUUUAGUUAAUAUGAGCUAGUUUCAUAUUAGCGCUCAUCCGUUUACGUCACUAGUGUGUACCAGAGAAUGACGCCAACUUAUGCCUUGAUCACACGUACCGAGCAAACGGGCGAGACAGUGCUCUCGGCCGAGUACUCGGUGUGUAUGAACAUUACGCCGAUUGCUCGGUCGAGCGCUCGAGUAUGUGACUCGCUCACCCAACUGUCUCGACCAAGUAAACAUUUUACUGUCUCGCCAGUUUACUCGAUACGUGUGAUCAAGGCUUUAUAAAUGAAAAUACGAUAUCCCUACUUACUGUUCGUUCAGUGAUCACCACUUGGCGCCAAUAGCGAGUGACAGAAUCUUAUUGGCUCCGUGCACGAUUACAGCGCCAACUAGCGUCCACAACUUUGUGGGCUCUGUCACAUUGACAUUUAGGUCGUAUAUUUGUGAAAAAAUAUCGAAAUGAAAAAAUAACAAAUAUUUUCAACUAAUAAAUUGUUGUGAUACCACGAUUUGGGUGGAAAAAAUGUUUUGAAAUCAUUUUGGUCAUUCAAAUCAAAUGAGAUCGAAAUGAGUAUCGUUUUGAAGACCGGGUUUGUGAGAGUUACAAUAUCAAAUUCCAACCACAAACCGUAUUUAAAGGAAAGUUGUUGGUAUUGGCUGGACAAGUCCGAGAUGUAGAAGAAUUAAGAACAAAACAAGGGCAGAGUUCAAUAAUUCACGCUCUCAUCAUAAGGCAAACAUCUGUGCACAACAACUACUGUGACUCAUUUUUGUACUACCACGUUGUAUAGUUUAGUUAUUUCCAAAUUGUAAACGGCUAUUAAAACAGCCCUAUCGAAAUACAGUCCACUCUUUUAUUUAAGUUCCCAGUAGGACCCUUUUCAUGCGAUUAAUUAAUGAUAUUAAAAUGUAUUAUGUAGAAUCGCUUUGCCAUUGACAGAUACAUCUGAUGACAGAGCUAACAUUAUUUCUACUUUUGACCACCAUGAGCGCUGCGAUAGAUUAUGUCCCCCCCACCUAGUACUUCGCACCCAGCGAAUAGGUCGCUCAAAGAAAGUUGAGGCAAACACGUUACCUACUUGUAAUGCUUCAACCACACCAAUGGGUCGCGCGACCUGUCAUUGGCCUAUGAUCGCGCCGGCGAUGGCGAUCUGCACGCGUUGGUGUGGUUGAAACUUAAUAUUGAAAUACAGAACACAAUGAACACAUUCGGGUUCAAAUAUCGAAAACAUUACAGACAUCAGCACGGAUAGCGUAUACUGAUACAAAUCUUUGCUUGUGUUGAUGACCUCAACUUUCGUUGAGCGAACUAUACUAGAUUAUGACAUAAACUAUGAUAUUUUUAAAACAAACGGUACGGAUAUAUUGGUAUUAUGAAUUUUGAUCUCUUAUGAUUCUAUUUUAAUGUUUUUAAGCCUUCAUCUCCCAUUAUUCAUUAAAGCGAAGCAGAGGACUACUCAGCGCCAUUUUCGUAGUUUCGGGUCGAUCUGUCACUGUCACUUGCGUUUGGCGUGAAAGAGACGGAAACAUUCGAAACUUCGUAUACCUAGUCUUUGAGAGAAGCGUCGCAGAGGCUUGCCAAAACGAUGAGACUCUAGUGUUAGUCGAUUUUAGUUACUAUUGCUUUACUUUUAAGUAUUAUAAUGGCGUCAAUAUUUCAAACUAUUGUAGGUAAAUGCGUGUUCACGGUACAGUCAGCAGUCAGCGUCAAAUAGUUCGUGACGUCCAAAGUGGCCAAAAAGUUGACAACACAACCUUAUUCCAAUUGUAACAAAGACGUGACUUCUUGGCUACUUUAGGUGUCACGAAAUUUGAAGCUGACUGUAUAGUUCGUUUCAUCCACGAAGACGCGCUCCACUAAUUUUUGGUCUCGGUCGCGCGGGGUGCGGGGAAUUUGAUCCGAGCAAUCCGUAAGGCAUUAUUGUAGUGUGCGUGUGCACUCAUGGAUGAUUUAGCGUGUACCGAUAACACUCAAACGUUAGCGGAGAAUGGUGGGGCGCGUCUUCGUAGAUGAAACGAUCUGUACAUAUAAAUGGUGUAUUGUAACAAGUAAUGUAAGAGAUUAUGGCGUUGUUGACGGAGUCUAUGGUCUAUCGAAGUUAUGUUAUGUGAAAUAUAUUUUGAGCAAUCA